UACGAAGGGUGCAAGCGUUAAUCGGAAUUACUGGGCGUAAAGCGUGCGUAGGUGGUUUGUUAAGUCUGCUGUGAAAGCCCUGGGCUCAACCUGGGAAUGGCGGUGGAUACUGACAAGCUAGAGUGCGGUAGAGGAGGGUGGAAUUCCCGGUGUAGCGGUGAAAUGCGCAGAUAUCAGGAGGAACACCAAUUGCGAAGGCAGCUCGCUGGGACGUAACUGACGCUGAGACGCGAAAGCGUGGGGAGCAAACAGG
rnacentral:rRNA from 1 species